AUUGAACGCUGGCGGAAUGCUUUACACAUGCAAGCCGAACGGCAGCUCGGGGGCAACCCUGGUGGCGAGUGGCGAACGGGUGAGUAAUACAUCGGAACGUGCCCAGGCGUGGGGGAUAACGUAGCGAAAGUUACGCUAAUACCGCAUACGAUCUACGGACGAAAGCGGGGGACGGUAAGGCCUCGCGCGAGUGGAGCGGCCGAUGGACGAGUAGGUAGUUGGUGAGGUAAAGGCUCACCAAGCCGACGAUCGGUGGCUGGUCGGAGAGGACGACCAGCCACACUGGGACUGAGACACGGCCCAGACUCCUACGGGAGGCAGCAGUGGGGAAUUUUGGACAAUGGGCGCAAGCCUGAUCCAGCCAUUCCGCGUGCAGGACGAAGGCCUUCGGGUUGUAAACUGCUUUUGUACGGAACGGAAAGGCUCUGGUUAAUACCUGGGGCUCAUGACGGUACCGUGAGAAUAAGCACCGGCUAACUACGUGCCAGCAGCCGCCGUAA
rnacentral:rRNA from 1 species